ensembl:lncRNA
GAAUAAAUAAAGUCUGAUUGAUGCACUGCCCUGAAACAGGUGGACUCUCUUUUACAGCAUGUUUUUUGUUUCAGGUGUAUUUCAGUUUAUUUCAUUUCUAUCCCAGCCAGCGUCUUAGUGAUUAUAGAUGGUUAAUUAGGGAGGAAUGUCUGUUUGUUUAGCUGAGUGCAGUGAAGUCGGAGGUGAUUGUCAGUAAAUGCAUCGCCCCCCUGAUAGGCCUGGUCUUGCAUGUCAGCCGGUUUCUUCACUAACCUUGCCCCCGUUUGGUCCUCUCCUGUGAAGGGCUGCAGCUGUCUGCCUGCCAGUCGGACUUUAUCAAAACUCGGAUUCGCUGUGCCGUUAAGUACGCUGCUUAUUUCGAACCCGCCCCCCUUUUCUGCUGUUUUGUUCAGAUGCAUUUAAGGACGAGCUGCUGGAAAUAAUAGAGGGCCUUCAGAGCAGGAUCGAUGCCACAGCCUGCGCCAUCUUCUGCAACUGGAAGCUCUCGCCAGCGUCUCCAGAAUACACAAUCAGUCUUUGUUAGCUUGUGGUCCCAAGUCUGGAUAAAUGGGGUGGUUGUGUUGUGUCAGUGAGGGCAUCUGGCAGCAUGUGGUUUCAUGUCUGUGGUGACCGCCUGGAGAUAAAGCAGCAGCUGAAAGUGUGGAGCACAUGAAAAGAAGGUAAGUGGACUUCCUUUGGUUCAUAAAGCUGUUUCAGCUCUCAUGCAGAGGUUUCCUCAAGUCCAAAACAACUGAUGAAGAGUCCCAGGUAACCUCGUGGUCGUCCUCGGGUGCUCGACCCUCAUUGAUCAUCCUCUGCUCCGGUCCCAGUACCACAGAUUUUAUCAUGAGACAGUAAACGUGAGGCCACAGACACGUUACUACACAUGCGCCCUCGCAGUUCACUGUCAGGGUGAGGAGUCAGUCACACAGAGACACACAACCAUUCACACCUACAGAUGAUGCAGAGUGACCAGUUACCCACCAGUUUGGACUGUGGGAGGAAGGACGCUGUAUUUAAAUGAAAUCUGAAAAUCAGUGAUGACUCCAGCACCCCCAGUUUGCACCUGCGGGGACAAAUCAGUGCAUUAGAGGUGGCGUCUGCUUCAUGAACUGUGCUGAGCACCCUCUGUUGGAGUAAAAUAGCACCGCAGCCUGUUUAAGGAGAGCGCGGCACACCUGCUCCUCAUCACUUGUUGCCGUCCUGCAGUAUUUAAGGAGCGGCUCCUCUGCCAGGUUGCUGUAGCAGUGGAAGCUCUCUCGUUCCUCACCUCAGCCUGUGAGGAAACCUGCUGCAC